GCCAGCAGCCGCGGUAAUUCCAGCUCCAAUAGCGUAUAUUAAAGUUGUUGCGGUAAAAAAGCUCGUAGUUGGAUUUCUGAAUGGCACGACCGGUCCACACCACGUGUGCGCAUCUGGCUCGGGCUGUUCAUCCUCUCGAUGGGCGUUUCUGCGCUUGAUUGCGUGGAGCGAACUUCGGGACUUUUACUUUGAGGAAAUUAGAGUGUUCACGGCAGGCUAUCGCCAGAAUACAUUAGCAUGGAAUAAUACUAUAGGAUCUUGACCCUAUUUUGUUGGUUUCUAGGAUUGAGAUAAUGAUUAAUAGGGACAAUUGGGGGCAUUUGUAUCAACACGUCAGAGGUGGAAUUCUUGGAUUGUGUUGCGACAAACUACUGCGAAAGCAUUUGCCAAGGAUGUUUUCAUUGAUCAAGAACGAAAGUAAGGGGAUCGAAGACGAUUAGAUACCGUCGUAGUCUUUACCAUAAACUAUGCCGACUCGAGAUAGGACCGCGUUCACUUCUGACUGGUUCUGCACCGUAUGAGAUAUCAAAGUCUUUGGGUUCCGGGGGGAGUAUGGUCGCAAGACUGAAACUUAAAGGAAUUGACGGAAGGGCACCACCAGGAGUGGAGCCUGCGGCUUAAUUUGACUCAACACGGGGAAACUCACCAGGUCCAGACAUAAUAAGGAUUGACAGAUUGAUAGCUCUUUCUUGAUUUUAUGGGUGGUGGUGCAUGGCCGUUCUUAGUUCGUGGAGUGAUUUGUCUGCUUAAUUGCGUUAACGAACGAGACCUUAAUCUGCUAAAUAGGAGCGCAUAUCUCCGGAUAAGCGCCUUUCUUCUUAGAGAGACUGUGUGUGUUUCAACACGCGGAAGUUUGAGGCUAAAACAGGUCUGUGAUGCCCAAGG
rnacentral:rRNA from 1 species